GACCCGAGUGCAAUUGCUCCUGUGGAAUUGUUGUGCAUUUACUUUCAAGGCCUCGGUUUGAGGCGUUGUCCUCACACUAGCACUGAUGGGGGCUGCGGGAUUCCAACUUUUAACUUGAAUUUUGUAGAGACAAGGAAAAAAAAAAAGACUAUUCUCUUGAUACAAGUUUGUAGCUAAUUUAACAUUUGAGGGUUUUUCUGUUGGUUAUGCGUGUGGCUUUAUAGGGCUUUUUUUUCUCUUUCUCUCUCUCUCUCGUUCCAGUUUUGUUUUAUUAUUUUAUUUGGGAUGCUUUCGUGCAGGUGCAGCCCACCCAGAUCUGGUUCCUUUUCCAAAAUACCCCUUUCCCGGAGGCAAUGAGGCCACUUAGACUCUGCACAGGGCUCACCUGCAGGCACUUACUUGGCCAGAGGCUGCUCCAGAUUCUGGUAGGGGCAGGCUGUCUGAGGCCGGCCUUGUGGGGUAAACCUGUGCACUCCAGGUUCUGGCUAGUGCCAGGCUGGAAGAAACCAGGCCAAUUCGGCAAGUAAUGGAAGGGCCGGGAGUUGCCAGCAGGAAGCCCCGCCCAUAGGUCUUUAAAUGGGGUCUGCCCAAAUGGGGCAGUGGUUUUCUUUAUCUGUAUCAGAGUGUAUGUAUGUGUGUGAGAGUGUGUAUCUGUGUAUGUGUGUGUGUGUGUCCCCUCUUGGCUGCCCACAGCCAGAAAGCCAGGACCAUCUAAACUGGAGAGGGAGCAGGGAGGGUACAGCUGAGAGAUGAGGGUACCCAACAGGCAACGCGCUGAUUGCUAACCGGCCCUGCCAGAGCCUCCAUGCUGCUGAGAGUUCGUUCGCCCAGAUUCUAACCUACCACAGGACUCUGCCUCUGUGGAAGGAGUUUUGUAAAGGAAAAGAAAAACAAAACACAACAAAACAAAAUAAAAAAAAAUUUCAAUGUAGCAAAAUCAAAUAAAAAAUUAUAAAAGGAAAAAAAAAAGCCGCGGAGAGUGCGCAGUCUAGCCUUUUGUAAGCCUCAUAUUGCACAUUAGGACUAUAAGCCAUUGCUAGCUCAUCUUGAAUUUUAAUGUGUAAUUUUUGUUUUAUUUUCUUUCUGUGAGGAAAACGAUGCCUGACCCACCAAUGCUCUUUUUAAUGUUUUAUAACUAUGUAUGUGUAUAUAUAUAAAUAUAAAAGUAAUAUGUAUGCACAUAUGUGUGUAUAUAUCUAUAUGUAUAUACAUAUAUAGAUAUAUAGAGAUAUAUAGAGAGGUUUUGAGACAAAAAAAAAAAAAAAUGCAGACCAUGAAACCGACCUGAACAGCGCGCGCUCUGAUUACUUGAAUCUGGUCUCCUCGGCACCUGGUUAUUAAGAACUGAAUAUUUUUCCACUUGAAUUUAGUGCUAUUAGAAAUUUAAUAUAUGUGUUUUAUUUAUUUGAUUUUUUUUUGCAUGACUGAUGCAAGGUUUGACAUUUUCACUCAAUAAAAACUG
rnacentral:lncRNA from 1 species